AUCUUGCCAUUGUGUUAUAAGUGUGAUGUUGCAUCAGGUAAUGCAAGCAUCAUCAUGCUGCAGUCAACAAAUUUGGCCUACAGGACAAACUGACUAAAAGUGACAAGUGAAAGCUAUCAGGAACACAGUACAAACUUUGCAAGUUGGUGCUACCGCAAGUCUAAUCUUAUUCCAGUAACUGCUAGUUCUGCUCCCAAAGCAAGUCAUUUCAAUUUAGGUUACAAUACUGUGAUAUUAGUUUUGAUGUGGACAAUGGAGUAAACAGUCCAAUGUACUCCUGGGUCUACACUGGAAGAAGUCAGAAUAGAUCCUUGCAGAAGGCCUCUGAGGUGGGAAGCAGCGUUGUGAUAUAAAAUGGCUGAAAUCUCCCUUGUGCCAUUGGGGUUACCCAGAGUCAGUUUCAGCUCAACAGUGAGUGGCAAGUGCUGGGAGAAAGACGUGGUUUAAGAUAAAAGCAGGAAACUUGCCAAAACAGAGAGAAGAUCAGUCAGUGGUAGUAACAAGAUAUCACAGCUGCAGAGGAAGAAGAAAUGAGAAAUGCAGUGUCAAUGAACUAGAGAAAG